rnacentral:misc_RNA from 1 species
AAAGGCACGGGUGCUACAUCCUUGACCGCAUUAACCAUUUCUGAACUGUUAUCAGUCUCCACUUGUUCUGCAUACCUAAGAACAUCAUUCAAAACAAAGUAGCCUUUGUCCUGUGGAGCAAGGAAAAAAGUCUGGGUGAAUUGCUUUCUCGUGUUAUCUUUUCCAGUUAAGCAUCCAGUAACCAAUACAAUGACCCCAUCCUUGUAGGACUGUUGUGCAUCUGCAGUCUUUAUCUCUGCCUUAUAAUUCUUGUAGCCUAAUGAGCAUAUCAUGUCAUUGAUAUUUUUCAUUGUUGUCACGGAUGUCAUCACGCCAUUAGAAUUUGGGCGGCUUAAGACACUUGAAUCCAGAUAAAAUCUGUAUACCAACUCUGGGGAGUGGUGUUGAAUUUGGUAAUACUGCUCAACAAAAGCAUUUCCGAUCACUUGUGCAGCAGGGGCAGAAGGUAUAGCUGUAGUUUCCAUAGCCAUUCUUAGAAGAAAGCGAAAGGAAGACAGAUU